UUAAGCGACUAAGCGUACACGGUGGAUGCCCUGGCAGUCAGAGGCGAUGAAGGGCGUGCUAAUCUGCGAUAAGCGCCGGUAAGGUGAUAUGAACCGUUAUAACCGGCGAUACCCGAAUGGGGAAACCCAGUGUGACUCGUCACACUAUCAUUAACUGAAUCCAUAGGUUAAUGAGGCGAACCGGGGGAACUGAAACAUCUAAGUACCCCGAGGAAAAGAAAUCAACCGAGAUUCCCCCAGUAGCGGCGAGCGAACGGGGAGGAGCCCAGAGCCUGAAUCAGCAUGUGUGUUAGUGGAAGCGUCUGGAAAGGCGCGCGAUACAGGGUGACAGCCCCGUACACAAAAGCGCAUGUGCUGUGAGCUCGAUGAGUAGGGCGGGACACGUGGUAUCCUGUCUGAAUAUGGGGGGACCAUCCUCCAAGGCUAAAUACUCCUGACUGACCGAUAGUGAACCAGUACCGUGAGGGAAAGGCGAAAAGAACCCCGGCGAGGGGAGUGAAAAAGAACCUGAAACCGUGUACGUACAAGCAGUGGGAGCCCCACCACUAAGCCAGUGGUGAACUCCACAUACGCAUCCUUUGCUGAGGAUACGGUUAACGGAGCGAAAGCGACGUUCAACCGCAAAAGAAGCAGAGGGGGCUUAGUGGUGGGGUGACUGCGUACCUUUUGUAUAAUGGGUCAGCGACUUAUAUUCUGUAGCAAGGUUAACCGAAUAGGGGAGCCGGAGGGAAACCGAGUCUUAAUUGGGCGUUAAGUUGCAGGGUAUAGACCCGAAACCCGGUGAUCUAGCCAUGGGCAGGUUGAAGGUUGGGUAACACUAACUGGAGGACCGAACCGACUAAUGUUGAAAAAUUAGCGGAUGACCUGUGGCUGGGGGUGAAAGGCCAAUCAAACCGGGAGAUAGCUGGUUCUCCCCGAAAGCUAUUUAGGUAGCGCCUCGUGAAUUCAUCUCCGGGGGUAGAGCACUGUUUCGGCUAGGGGGCCAUCCCGGCUUACCAACCCGAUGCAAACUGCGAAUACCGGAGAAUGUUAUCACGGGAGACACACGGCGGGUGCUAACGUCCGUCGUGAAGAGGGAAACAACCCAGACCGCCAGCUAAGGUCCCAAAGUCAUGGUUAAGUGGGAAACGAUGUGGGAAGGCCCAGACAGCCAGGAUGUUGGCUUAGAAGCAGCCAUCAUUUAAAGAAAGCGUAAUAGCUCACUGGUCGAGUCGGCCUGCGCGGAAGAUGUAACGGGGCUAAACCAUGCACCGAAGCUGCGGCAGCGACACUAUGUGUUGUUGGGUAGGGGAGCGUUCUGUAAGCCUGCGAAGGUGGCCUGUGAGGGUUGCUGGAGGUAUCAGAAGUGCGAAUGCUGACAUAAGUAACGAUAAAGCGGGUGAAAAGCCCGCUCGCCGGAAGACCAAGGGUUCCUGUCCAACGUUAAUCGGGGCAGGGUGAGUCGACCCCUAAGGCGAGGCCGAAAGGCGUAGUCGAUGGGAAACGGGUUAAUAUUCCCGUACUUGGUGUUACUGCGAAGGGGGGACGGAGAAGGCUAUGUUGGCCGGGCGACGGUUGUCCCGGUUUAAGCGUGUAGGUGUGUGUUCCAGGUAAAUCCGGUUCACUUUAACACUGAGGCGUGACGACGAGGCACUACGGUGCUGAAGCAACAAAUGCCCUGCUUCCAGGAAAAGCCUCUAAGCAUCAGGUAACAUCAAAUCGUACCCCAAACCGACACAGGUGGUCAGGUAGAGAAUACCAAGGCGCUUGAGAGAACUCGGGUGAAGGAACUAGGCAAAAUGGUGCCGUAACUUCGGGAGAAGGCACGCUGACACGUAGGUGAAGUGAUUUACUCACGGAGCUGAAGUCAGUCGAAGAUACCAGCUGGCUGCAACUGUUUAUUAAAAACACAGCACUGUGCAAACACGAAAGUGGACGUAUACGGUGUGACGCCUGCCCGGUGCCGGAAGGUUAAUUGAUGGGGUCAGCGCAAGCGAAGCUCCUGAUCGAAGCCCCGGUAAACGGCGGCCGUAACUAUAACGGUCCUAAGGUAGCGAAAUUCCUUGUCGGGUAAGUUCCGACCUGCACGAAUGGCGUAAUGAUGGCCAGGCUGUCUCCACCCGAGACUCAGUGAAAUUGAACUCGCUGUGAAGAUGCAGUGUACCCGCGGCAAGACGGAAAGACCCCGUGAACCUUUACUAUAGCUUGACACUGAACAUUGAGCCUUGAUGUGUAGGAUAGGUGGGAGGCUUUGAAGCGUGGACGCCAGUCUGCGUGGAGCCGACCUUGAAAUACCACCCUUUAAUGUUUGAUGUUCUAACGUGGACCCGUGAUCCGGGUUGCGGACAGUGUCUGGUGGGUAGUUUGACUGGGGCGGUCUCCUCCUAAAGAGUAACGGAGGAGCACGAAGGUUGGCUAAUCCUGGUCGGACAUCAGGAGGUUAGUGCAAUGGCAUAAGCCAGCUUGACUGCGAGCGUGACGGCGCGAGCAGGUGCGAAAGCAGGUCAUAGUGAUCCGGUGGUUCUGAAUGGAAGGGCCAUCGCUCAACGGAUAAAAGGUACUCCGGGGAUAACAGGCUGAUACCGCCCAAGAGUUCAUAUCGACGGCGGUGUUUGGCACCUCGAUGUCGGCUCAUCACAUCCUGGGGCUGAAGUAGGUCCCAAGGGUAUGGCUGUUCGCCAUUUAAAGUGGUACGCGAGCUGGGUUUAGAACGUCGUGAGACAGUUCGGUCCCUAUCUGCCGUGGGCGCUGGAGAACUGAGGGGGGCUGCUCCUAGUACGAGAGGACCGGAGUGGACGCAUCACUGGUGUUCGGGUUGUCAUGCCAAUGGCACUGCCCGGUAGCUAAAUGCGGAAGAGAUAAGUGCUGAAAGCAUCUAAGCACGAAACUUGCCCCGAGAUGAGUUCUCCCUGAGACUUUAGGUCUCCUGAAGGAACGUUGAAGACGACGACGUUGAUAGGCCGGGUGUGUAAGCGCAGCGAUGCGUUGAGCUAACCGGUACUAAUGAACCGUGAGGCUUAACCUU
rnacentral:rRNA from 1 species